rnacentral:rRNA from 1 species
AUGAACGGCUAGCGGCAGGCUUAACACAUGCAAGUCGAGGGGUAUAGGCUUCGGACCUAGAGACCGGCGCACGGGUGCGUAACGCGUAUGCAAUCUACCUUUCACAGAGGGAUAGCCCAGAGAAAUUUAGGAUUAAUAACCUCAUAGUAUUAUAGAAUGGCAUCAUUUUAUAAUUAAAGUCACAACGGUGAAAGAUGAGCAUGCGUCCCAUUAGCUAGUUGGUAUGGUAACGGCAUACCAAGGCAACGAUGGGUAGGGGUCCGUGAGAGGGAGAUCCCCCACACUGGUACUGAGACACGGACCAGACUCCUACGGGAGGCAGCAGUGAGGAAUAUUGGUCAAUGGGCGCAAGCCUGAACCAGCCAUGCCGCGUGCAGGAUGACGGUCCUAUGGAUUGUAAACUGCUUUUGCACAGGAAGAAACAACGCUACGUGUAGCGUCUUGACGGUACUGUGAGAAUAAGGAUCGGCUAACUCCGUG